rnacentral:rRNA from 1 species
GACGAACGCUGGCGGCGUGCUUAACACAUGCAAGUCGAACGGAAAGGCCCUGCUUUUGUGGGGUGCUCGAGUGGCGAACGGGUGAGUAACACGUGAGUAACCUGCCCUUGACUUUGGGAUAACUUCAGGAAACUGGGGCUAAUACCGGAUAGGAGCUCCUGCUGCAUGGUGGGGGUUGGAAAUUUCGGCGGUUGGGGAUGGACUCGCGGCUUAUCAGCUUGUUGGUGGGGUAGUGGCUUACCAAGGCUUUGACGGGUAGCCGGCCUGAGAGGGUGACCGGCCACAUUGGGACUGAGAUACGGCCCAGACUCCUACGGGAGGCAGCAGUGGGGAAUAUUGCACAAUGGGCGGAAGCCUGAUGCAGCAACGCCGCGUGCGGGAUGACGGCCUUCGGGUUGUAAACCGCUUUCGCCUGUGACGAAGCGUGAGUGACGGUAAUGGGUAAAGAAGCACCGGCUAACUACGUG